UUCCCCUUAGUUCAGUCGGUAGAACGGCGGACUGUUAAUCCGUAUGUCGCUGGUUCAAGUCCAGCAGGGGGAGCCA
rnacentral:tRNA from 1 species